GAGCCGGGCGGCGGGUACUUAUCUCCGACCUCCGGCUAGUGGGAAAGGCCGCGCGACCGCCCGUCCUCCAACUACAGGGACCGCACGAACAGCGACUGGGAAACUGCCACUAGAAAAAGAUGACUGUCCAACUAAAACCUGCAUACACAGCUACAUCCUUCCCUGGAAGAGCACAGUGGAACUAGAUCCUAGUACAGAUAGCACAGGGAUUGUCAACAUUCUUGUCACACUGAAAUUUCCUUCUACUGAUCUCCAAAAACAGAUGCCCUGCCCAGAAGCAACACGGCUAAUGGGUGCCACCGUGGAGACCCAGGCAACCUGAGAGUAGUCCUGACAGCCAGACCUCCAGGGUGGAAAUGGGAAGGUCUACAGAGAAAGUGGGAGACAUGAAACUAAACAGGAAUGAUACAUUGACAAUAAAGAACAUGAAGAGAUGGUUCCUGGACACUACAAGAAACCUGUGGUCCCAGCUACUCGAAGACUGAAGUGAGAGGAUCACUUGAGCCCAGAAGGUCGAUGCUACAGUGAGCCAUGAUCAUGC
rnacentral:lncRNA from 1 species